rnacentral:tRNA from 1 species
CCAGUUGCAUGGCUGAGGAUGCCGAGCUGGCCGUUAAGGCUGCCCGCGCCGCGUUCGAGCGUGGCGACUGGGCCA